UUUUGUAAAACUUCACACAGUUGUAUUCCUUCGCAGCGGAUCAGGAUGGUAGUUGACUUUUGGAAGUUUGUUUUCAACCCCGUUCUCUCUCCAAACAUCUUCAAGAUGUGGACCAACGCGUCUAUCUCCUCUUUUCUUGGUGCAAAGAACAUCACCGCAUCGUCAGCAUACAUCGAUAUACAGCAGCACGGUGCACGUCCACAUAGCUUGCCA
rnacentral:lncRNA from 1 species